GUCGAGCGGAAUGACGAGAGCUUGCUCUCUGAUUUUAGCGGCGGACGGGUGAGUAACACGUGGGCAACCUGCCCUACAGAUGGGGAUAACUCCGGGAAACCGGGGCUAAUACCGAAUAAUCAGUUUGUCCGCAUGGGCAAACUCUGAAAGACGGUUUCGGCUGUCACUGUAGGAUGGGCCCGCGGCGCAUUAGCUAGUUGGUGGGGUAAUGGCCUACCAAGGCAACGAUGCGUAGCCGACCUGAGAGGGUGAUCGGCCACACUGGGACUGAGACACGGCCCAGACUCCUACGGGAGGCAGCAGUAGGGAAUCUUCCACAAUGGACGAAAGUCUGAUGGAGCAAUGCCGCGUGAGCGAAGAAGGUUUUCGGAUCGUAAAGCUCUGUUGUAAGGGAAGAACACGUACGGGAGUAACUGCCCGUGCCAUGACGGUACCUUAUUAGAAAGCCACGGCUAACUACGUGCCAGCAGCCGCGGUAAUACGUAGGUGGCAAGCGUUGUCCGGAAUUAUUGGGCGUAAAGCGCGCGCAGGCGGUUCUUUAAGUCUGAUGUGAAAGCCCACGGCUCAACCGUGGAGGGUCAUUGGAAACUGGAGAACUUGAGUACAGAAGAGGAAAGCGGAAUUCCACGUGUAGCGGUGAAAUGCGUAGAGAUGUGGAGGAACACCAGUGGCGAA
rnacentral:rRNA from 1 species